UAGGGAAUCUUCGGCAAUGGACGAAAGUCUGACCGAGCAACGCCGCGUGAGUGAAGAAGGUUUUCGGAUCGUAAAACUCUGUUGUUAGAGAAGAACAAGGACGUUAGUAACUGAACGUCCCCUGACGGUAUCUAACCAGAAAGCCACGGCUAACUACGUGCCAGCAGCCGCGGUAAUACGUAGGUGGCAAGCGUUGUCCGGAUUUAUUGGGCGUAAAGCGAGCGCAGGCGGUUUCUUAAGUCUGAUGUGAAAGCCCCCGGCUCAACCGGGGAGGGUCAGUGGAAACUGGGAGACUUGAGUGCAGAAGAGGAGAGUGGAAUUCCAUGUGUAGCGGUGAAAUGCGUAGAUAUAUGGAGGAACACCAGUGGAGAAGGCGGCUCUCUGGUCUGUAACUGACGCUGAGGCUCGAAAGCGUGGGGAGCAAACAGG
rnacentral:rRNA from 1 species